rnacentral:lncRNA from 1 species
GUUGUGUUAGGAAGGAGGACGGGAAUGGUAAAUGCUGACGCUACAGGCGGCAGUCUGUGCCUCAGAGAGAAAAUUUAUCCCAACCUUGCUGGGGGCCUUGACGCCCAUCUUCCUCCAGAGCACCCCGACAGUCACCCCGCCCUCUGGUGUCCUCCCACCCCGAGCCCGAUCUUCCCCCUUCACGCCUGCCCCGGGCCAAUAGCCUCCUAACUGCGUCCUCUCUGAUUGCGUGUGUCGUGCUCAUUACGCCCUAUCCGUCGUUUCUUCGCUCCACAAACGUUUACUGAGCGCCUUCAACUUGCCAGGCACUAAUUAGACUAGCGCAGAGAAACGGGGAUAAGUACUGAUGAGGGUCCCAGCCCUCAGCGAUCGGAUUUCAGAGGGGGAGAUAAAGGACUGCCCAGAAGGGUGGUGAGUGGAGUAGUUGAUAUAAACAACGAGGUGCGAUGAAAUACACAGGAGGGCUGCUAAUCACAUAUGGGGUGGGUGCCGAGGGCCCUUAAUUAAGGGAGGCUUCCUGGACGGGUGACACCCAAGCGGAGUCCUGACGACCCGCGUCAGAAGUAGUCAGGCGAGGAGGAGGGUAAAGGAAUCCACGUCCCAAGCAGAGAAGCAGCUUUCCCUACACAGCACAGGACACGGUCCGCGCACAGAAGCCGCAGGAGACGCAGGCACAGGGGCUGGGGAGAAUCCUUGCUGGGCCCUCGCCGUCCAUGCGCCGCCUCCCUCUGCCCGGUGUCUGGUGUCAGCCUCCUGCCUGGCAGAGGAACUCCAGCCCCUGCUCCCCGAAGCUCCUCCAGGCCUUCUGCUUCCCUGACUCGGAAUGGGCCCGCUGUCCAGUGGGUACAAGGCUGGUCUCCCCGCCCACUGGUGACGACGUAAAGAUCCAGCUCAGCCUGGUUUCCCCUGGUGAUGAUAUCUUGCGACUCGUCUUUCUCCAGGAAAACAGGGACCGCUCUCCGCCUACAGGUCUCUUCCACAGACCUAUCUUGUUUUCACCCCCUGUCUCUUUUGGUUCAGUCUUUUCGCUCAUACAAACAAGGAAGUCGCCCCUAGCCCAGCCGCGGCUCCUUAGCUGGAGGCGGGCCCGGGGGUGGAGUCAACCGCGGUGGCCACGCCUCCUGGGAAAGGGCAGGGCAUGCAAAUUCGAAAUGAAAGCCCGGAAACCCCGGAACUAGAACUGGUAUCUCUUCAACUACCUGUGAAAACUGAUGUGAUGAAAAGGGGAAUUUGAAGGAGCCAUUCCAGAAGACAGGGCGAAAACUGAAGUGCAAUCAGGGCCAAGAAAAACAGAAAUAGCAGGACCUGGAGUUGCAUAGGUUGAAUAGUUGAAUAGGCUGCUCUCCUCAGCUGGCAGGAAACCUGGCAGCCUCCUGGUGCCCAAGGACUGAAAACCUUAGAAGCACCUGGAGUUGGCAGCCUUGGCAUGGUCAGGUUGGCACCUCUGGAGGUGCCCAGGCUUCCCUGGCAGCAUUGUGAGCAGUGGAUGGUGUUGAAGGGCAGCCAGAGGAGGAAUGGAACACAUGCUCCUUGCUAACCACACGGACAAGGCCACGUUCACAGGUACACAAAGGACGGGGGUGGAAGGCCACCUUCGAUGGGUGCAUCCUCCACGAUGACCUGCUAACAAAGGUGCAUGGAUUUCAGAGUCUGAUUGGCCUACAACAGCAUUUGGCUUGUGGAGACAGUGGUUCCCUGAUGAAAAACUGCCAUGAUGGGAAUAGAAACAAUCAGAGGAAACUUCCGUGAGUUCCCAGGACACAUCCACCCACCUCCUCCACGUGUAACCACCACCUCUACCUUCCCCUCUGGUGCUGUGGAUGAGCCAUCCGUGCUCCUGGCAAAGGCCCACCUGCCACUUGGGCACAGGAACCCAUCCAUCCCUCCUUACCUCUGGUAACUCUCCCUCUCUCUCUCCUGCAUCCUUCAUAUUCUCUGGGUUGUAUUCUCUUCCAGCCCCCACCCCCUGCCCACCUCCAGCAUGUAAAAGUGCUGUUAUUGUUUCCACUUUAAAACAAACCCUAAAAAUAAGUAAAUAAAAUAAACCCUACCCUGACCCCACUUCACUCUAUAGUUACCAUCUCAUUUCCCUUCUUUUAACAGGAAAACUCCUCCAAACACUUGUCUAUAUUUGUCCCUGUCAUUCUCUCUCUCUCCCCCCUCUCUCUAUUUUUUAUUUUAUUUUAUUUUAUUUAUUUAUUUAUUUGAGACGGAGUCUCACUCUGUCACCCAGGCUGGAGUGCAGUGGCAUAAUCUUGGCUCACUGGAACCCCUACCUCUUGUGUUAAAGCAAUUCUCCUGCCUCAACCACCUGAGUAGCUGGGAUUACAGGCGCCCACCACCUCGCUGGGCUAAUUUUUGAAUUUGUAAUUGAGAUGGGGUUUCACCAUGGUAGCCAGGCUGGUCUCAAACUCCUGACCUCAAGCGAUCUGCCCACCUCCGUCUCUCAAAGUGCUGGGAUUAGAGGUGUGAGCCACCACGCCCGGCCUAUUUAUUUUUUUGAGACAGAGUCUCCCUCUGUUGUCCAAGCUAGAGUGCAGUGAUACCAUCUCGGCUCACUGCCACCUCUGCCUCCCAGGUUCAAGUGACUCUCCUGCCUCAGCCUCCCUAGUAGCUGGGAUUACAGCCAUGCACCACCACACCUGGCUAAUUUUUGUAUUUUUAGUAGAGAUGGGGUUUCACCACGUUGGCCAGGGUGGUCUUGAGCUCCUGACCUCAGGUGAUCUGCCCACCUCAGCCUCUCAAAGUGCUGGGAUUACGGGCAUGAGCUGCUGUGCCCAGCCUCAAUUAUUUUAAUCUUUGAAUAACUUCGGACUUGCAGAAAAGUUAAAAGACUUACAUGGAGAACUUCUCUACCCUCUUCCCCAUCCCCGCAAGGUACACAGUUGGUAAAGCGAGAAGUCUGGGGUUCAGUGACACACUUCUUAACUCCCAAGUUCGUGCUCUUUCUUUUCUCUCUCUCUCUCUCUCUGUUGUCUCUCCCUCCCUCCUUCACUCCCUCUCUCUCCCCUUGAUGGCCACAUUUACUUUAUAAUUUUCUCUCUCACUCUUUCUCUGUCUCACUCUCUCUUACACAACACACACACUCAUAAGAAGACACCUAUAUACAUUUUUUUCCUGAACCAUUGGUAAGUAAUUUGCACACAGGAUGUCCCUUCACCCCCCAGUCCACCAAUACUUCGGUGUGUUUCCUAAGAACAAAGGCCUUCUGGAAGUUUCACAUUAAUUCCAUACUGGAUCUACAGUCCGAGUUCAGAUUUCACCAAUUGUCCCAAUAAAGUCCUUUAGGUUUUUCUGGCCCAGGAUCACUUGUCACUUUUGGUUGUCAGGUCUCUUUAAGUCUCCUUCAGCCUUAUGUGUUGUCGACCUUUUUUUUUUGAGACAGAGUCUCACUCUGUUCCCCAGGCUGGAGUGCAGAGUGGUGCUAUCUUAGCUCACUGCAACCUCUGCCUCCCGGGUUCAAGAGAUUCUCCUGCCUCAGCCUCCCAAGUAGCUGGGAUUACAGGCCCCUGCCACCACACCAGAGUAAUUUUUGUAUUUUUAGUAGAGAUAGGGUUUCACCACAUUGGUCAG